GACGAACGCUGGCGGCGUGCUUAACACAUGCAAGUCGAACGGAAGGGCCCUGCUUUUGUGGGGUGCUCGAGUGGCGAACGGGUGAGUAACACGUGAGUAACCUGCCCUUGACUUUGGGAUAACUUCAGGAAACUGGGGCUAAUACCGGAUAGGAGCUCCUGCUGCAUGGUGGGGGUUGGAAAGUUUCGGCGGUUGGGGAUGGACUCGCGGCUUAUCAGCUUGUUGGUGGGGUAGUGGCUUACCAAGGCUUUGACGGGUAGCCGGCCUGGGAGGGUGACCGGCGACAUUGGGACUGAGAUACGGCCCAGACUCCUACGGGAGGCAGCAGUGGGGAAUAUUGCACAGUGGGCGGAAGCCUGAUGCAGCAACGCCGCGUGCGGGAUGACGGCCUUCGGGUUGUAAACCGCUUUCGCCUGUGACGAAGCGUGAGUGACGGUAAUGGGUAAAGAAGCACCGGCUAACUACGUG
rnacentral:rRNA from 1 species